UGGGGAAUAUUGCACAAUGGGCGCAAGCCUGAUGCAGCCAUGCCGCGUGUGUGAAGAAGGCCUUCGGGUUGUAAAGCACUUUCAGCGGGGAGGAAGGCGGUGAGGUUAAUAACCUCAUCGAUUGACGUUACCCGCAGAAGAAGCACCGGCUAACUCCGUGCCAGCAGCCGCGGUAAUACGGAGGGUGCAAGCGUUAAUCGGAAUUACUGGGCGUAAAGCGCACGCAGGCGGUCUGUCAAGUCGGAUGUGAAAUCCCCGGGCUUAACCUGGGAACUGCAUUCGAAACUGGCAGGCUAGAGUCUUGUAGAGGGGGGUAGAAUUCCAGGUGUAGCGGUGAAAUGCGUAGAGAUCUGGAGGAAUACCGGUGGCGAAGGCGGCCCCCUGGACAAAGACUGACGCUCAGGUGCGAAAGCGUGGGGAGCAGACAGGAUUAGAUACCCUGGUAGUCCACGCCGUNNCGAUGUCGAUUUGGAGGUUGUGCCCUUGAGGCGUGGCUUCCGGAGCUAACGCGUUAAAUCGACCGCCUGGGGAGUACGGCCGCAAGGNU
rnacentral:rRNA from 1 species